rnacentral:RNase_P_RNA from 1 species
CUAAGUAAUAGGAGUUAUAGGAAAAAUUUUCUGUAAAGUGCCACAGAGACGAGUUUUGCAGAAAUGUAAAAGUGAAACGCGGUAAACUCCUCC